AGUGAACGCUGGCGGUAGGCCUAACACAUGCAAGUCGAACGGCAGCACAGUAAGAGCUUGCUCUGACUGGUUGCCAGUGGGGGACGUAUGAGGAAUAUAUCGUACUCUACUUUUUCGUGUGGCAAUACGUAGGGAUACUUACUCUAAUACCACAUACGACCUUCGGUGGAAAGCAUGGAAUCUUGGCAACUUCCCCGCUAGAAUAUGCCGGUGUCGGAUUAGCUCGUUGGCGGGGUAAAGGCCCACCAAGGCGACGAUCCGUAGCUGGUCUGAGAGGAUGAUCAGCCACACUGGAACUGAGACACGGUCCAGACUCCUACGGGAGGCAGCAGUGGGGAAUAUUGGACAAUGGGCGGAAGCCUGAUCCAGCAAUACCGCGUGGGUGAAGAAGGCUUUCGGGUUGUAAAGCCCUUUUGUUGGGAAAGAAAAGCAGCAGGUUAAGACACCGCUGUUCUGAAGGUACCCUAAGAAUAAGCACCGGCUAACUUCGUG
rnacentral:rRNA from 1 species